UAAAGCGUGCGCAGGCGGUUAUAUAAGACAGAUGUGAAAUCCCCGGGCUCAACCUGGGAACUGCAUUUGUGACUGUAUAGCUGGAGUGCGGCAGAGGGGGAUGGAAUUCCGCGUGUAGCAGUGAAAUGCGUAGAUAUGCGGAGGAACACCGAUGGCGAAGGCAAUCCCCUGGGCCUGCACUGACGCUCAUGCACGAAAGCGUGGGGAGCAAACAGGAUUAGAUACCCUUU
rnacentral:rRNA from 1 species